rnacentral:lncRNA from 1 species
AGUAAGCAUUCAGUUUUUUUAUCUGAAUGAGAAUGUGCAGUUUUACCAACAUCAUUUGCUGAAGAGGCUUUCCAUUUUCCAUUGUAUAUUUAUGGCACUUUGUUGAAGAUCACUUGGCUGUAUAUGUAUGUGUUUAAUUCUGGGCUCUCUAUCAAUCACAAUGGUCCUUAUGGGUGCCCUAAUUCUAGGACCAUACUUUUUGAGUAUAUGUAACUGUAUUGUACAUUUCAGUCUCAUAAAUGUGUGUCUUCCAACACUAUUCUUUUACAAUGUUAUUAUUGAAUAUUUGAGACCCCUGGAAAAUUCAUUCAAAAUUGAGGGUUUUCUUAUCCAUUUUUGCAAACAUGGUUGUCAGCAGUUUGACAGGGGUUGUGGUGCAUCUGUACAUCACUUUGUAUAGUAUUGCACUUGAAUAAUGUUUAGUCUUCCUGUCCAUGAAUACAGGGUGCCUUUCUACUUAUUUAUAUCCUCUUUACUUUAUUUCAGCAAUGUUUUGUUCUUAUUGAGGUAUAAGUACUUUGCUUCCUUGGUUAGCUAUCUUACUAAGUACAUAAUCAUUUUACAUGUUAUUAUAAAUGGAAUUACAUACGCAAUUUUCUUAUUGGACUGCUCAUUGUUGGUGUGUAUUAACAUAGCUGCCAUUUGAGUGUCAACCUUAUACUAUGCAACUUUGAACUUGUUAACACUAAUACAUUCUUAUAGAUUAUUUCAUAUUUUCUAUAUAUAAAAGUUAGAGAAGUUACUGGCUUCAUAUCUAUUUUCUCAAGAUAUGAAAUGUAUAUUGCUACUGUACAGUUAAAUUCAUACUCCCUACUGAAUGAUGUCCUUCCAAAUGGCCUAGAUUGUUCAAAAAAUAAUUUGUCUUCUUAUUCCACAAUUUGUAGUUUUAGUUCUUUCUU